UACGGAGGGUGCUAGCGUUGUUCGGAAUCACUGGGCGUAAAGGGCGCGUAGGCGGCCAUCUAAGUCAGACGUGAAAUCCCCCGGCUUAACCUGGGAACUGCGUCUGAUACUGGAAGGCUUGAGUAUGGGAGAGGGAUGUAGAAUUCCAGGUGUAGCGGUGAAAUGCGUAGAUAUCUGGAGGAAUACCGGUGGCGAAGGCGGCAUCCUGGACCAUUACUGACGCUGAGGCGCGAAAGCUAGGGGAGCAAACGGG
rnacentral:rRNA from 1 species